rnacentral:lncRNA from 1 species
AGGAGUAUAAUUUAAAAACCUAGUUUUUGAGGAGAAUAUUUGGGAAAUGGUGAGUUUCUUUUUACCCUAAAGUAGCAUGUGAAUGUUUUGGUUAAAAUGUCAAAAAAUAAUCACUGCUGUGUUUGUGAUUUAUUGAGAAUUGAAAGCCAUUUUGAGUGUAAAAUUCUUAUAAUCUGAUUCAGUUUAAGAAAACACACAUGGUUGGGGUUGAGAAUAUUUAAAACAUUUGAUAUUGGUAAGAAAUAUUGAUGCUGUUGUUGAUUUCUUAAAUAGGCAUUUAUUUCAGACUUGAUAUUUUGAGAACCAUUUGUGUGAGGGAGGCGCUUUCCUUUUCUUCCCUUUACCUUUUUCUUGUAAUUGGUGAUUAUUGUAAUUCUGAUCAAGUUCUUAAUACUGAAUUGUAAAACAAUUAAUCAAAAUAUUAGUGCCACGAUUCUACCUGUUAUGAAACUACUUAGUCAUAGUCAAUUCUCACUGAUACUUUAUAUAAAGAGAAAAUUCAAGUAUUAGAGACGAUACUGGCUUCCUUAAGAGGAUGUGAAAGAUUUUUCAUAGUGAAUCAUGACCCUAAGAGAGAUGUAUGUGGCAAAAGUAUAGUAUAUAAUAAAUAGAUCCGCUGGUUUUUUAUAAGGCAAACAAUUGUAAGUUGACUGAUGUUCCUGUGUUAGAGAAUGUAGUGUUGAGCUUGGCAAAGAAUAAGUCAUUCGUGGAAUCCUUGUGUUUGACUGUUGCUUAUCUCAGUGUCGCUGUGUUAGUGCUCUUGGAUAGCUUGUAUAUGUGAUAGUUUGAUUAAUAAGAAAAAAAUAUAAAAUUUGAAAAUCGAAUAUAGGAUCCAAAAUGGUGAAUGAAAUGACUUAAUACUCAAGUGUUUUGGAGAGUAUUUCUUUUAACCUGUUGGUAGGCUAGUUUGAACGAUGAACCUAUGGACAUGUAGAAUGCAUAUAUGCUUGUAUUUCAUUGUAAUUUCUGAUAUAUAAUGAAUUUCUUGGGAGAGGUACUGAAUCUUUGAUUUUUCUUGUCAUUCUUCUCAAGUGCAAUAUAACAAUGUAACCAAACCUAGAUAUUUCAAAGUCAUUAUUAAUUUAGUAAACCUAAUCUAAAUGGAGAUUUAUUAGUAUUUUUUGUUAGCAGGAAGGAAUGAUUUUGAGAUGGAUACACGAAUGAAGUUAUUUACCCCUAAAAGGUCCAUUUUACACUUUAUUUCAGGCUGGACAUGAACUAUUCCCUGCUAGUUUUGAAACACUUUGCAAUAUCUUAAAGUAACUUGGAAGCUGUGUAUAUCAAUUAAUUUCCUACCUAAGUAACAUAGAAAAUAAUUUUCUUUAUUUAGCUCUCUUGUGAUCACCCACAUUGGGUGAGACAUAAAAUGAGUGUCUUCUAAAAUUUGUCAUUUACUAACUUGAUCUGAGUUAGUGAAAACUGGUACAGUGUUCUGCUUAUUAGUCUCCAGUGUGUAACUUGUGUCUGUUCAAUAAACUUGAGCAUAUGGUGCCA